rnacentral:lncRNA from 1 species
UACUAGAAACUACAUUCUGAAGAAAAUAAAAGAACAUCAAGAAUCACUGGAUGUUACAAAUCCUCAUGACUUUAUUGAUUAUUACCUAAUUAAGUGGAAGCAGUUCUCAAAAGUGUAUGGUCCUGUAUUUACUCUUUACUUUGGCCUGAAGCCCACUGUGAUAUUGCAUGGAUAUGAAGCAGUAAAAGAAGCUUUGAUUGAUCAUGGGGAGGAGUUUGCUGAAAGAGGAAGCUUCCCAGUAGUUGAAAAAAUUAAUAAAGACCUUGGAAUUGUUUUUAGCCAUGGAAAUAGAUGGAAAGAAAUAAGACGCUUUACCCUCACGACUCUGCGGAAUUUGGGCAUGGGGAAAAGGAACAUUGAGGAUCGUGUUCAAGAGGAAGCACGGUGCCUUGUGGAGGAACUGAGGAAAACCAAUGGCUCACCCUGUGACCCCACGUUUAUCCUGGGCUGUGCUCCUUGCAAUGUCAUCUGCUCCAUUAUUUUCCAGAAUCGUUUUGAUUAUAAAGAUCAGGAUUUUCUUAACUUGAUGGAAAAACUCAAUGAGAACAUGAAGGUUUUGAGCAGUCCCUGGACACAGUUUUGCAGUUUUUUCCCUGUUUUAAUUGAUUAUUGUCCGGGAAGUCAUACGACAUUAGCUAAAAAUAUAUAUUAUAUUAGAAACUACCUUCUGAAGAAAAUAAAAGAACAUCAAGAAUCACUGGAUGUUACAAAUCCUCGGGACUUUAUUGAUUAUUACCUAAUUAAGUGGAAGCAGCUAAAGUCCAGGAAGAGAUUGAUCGUGUGUUUGGCAAACAUCGCAGCCCUUGCAUGCAGGACAGGAGCCGCAUGCCCUACACAGAUGCCAUGAUUCAUGAGGUCCAGAGGUUCAUUGACCUCAUUCCUACCAACCUGCCACAUGCGGUGACCUGUGACAUUAAGUUCAGGAACUACCUAAUACCCAUGCAGGUAAUAGAAACUCAUUUCCAUGGUUCCAGUGACAUGCAGAACCGUGGGGACUU